rnacentral:rRNA from 1 species
UACGGGGGGAGCAAGCGUUGCUCGGAAUCACUGGGCGUAAAGGGCGCGUAGGCGGGGAGGUAAGUCGGGUGUGAAAUCCCUCGGCCCAACCGAGGAACUGCGCCCGAGACUGCUUCUCUUGAGUCCCGGAGAGGAAGAUGGAAUUCCCGGUGUAGCGGUGAAAUGUGUAGAGAUCGGGAGGAACACCGGUGGCGAAGGCGGUCUUCUGGACGGUGACUGACGCUGAGGCGCGAAAGCGUGGGGAGCAAACGGG